ACUCCUACGGGAGGCAGCAGUGGGGAAUAUUGCACAAUGGGCGCAAGCCUGAUGCAGCAACGCCGUGUGAGUGAAGAAGGUUUUCGGAUCGUAAAACUCUGUCCUAAGGGAAGAAACAAAUGACGGUACCUUAGGAGGAAGCCCCGGCUAACUACGUGCCAGCAGCCGCGGUAAUACGUAGGGGGCAAGCGUUAUCCGGAAUCACUGGGCGUAAAGGGUGCGUAGGCGGCUUAGCAAGCCAGGGGUGAAAGGCAUUGGCUCAACCAAUGUAAGCCUUUGGAACUGUUAAGCUUGAGUGCAGGAGAGGUAAUGGAAUUCCUAGUGUAGAGGUGAAAUUCGUAGAUAUUAGGAGGAACACCAGUGGCGAAGGCGACUUACUGGACUGUAACUGACGCUGAUGCACGAAAGCGUGGGUAGCGAACAGGAUUAGACACCCUGGUAGCACAGAG
rnacentral:rRNA from 1 species